rnacentral:rRNA from 1 species
CCUACGGGAGGCUGCAGUGAGGAAUAUUGGUCAAUGGGCGGGAGCCUGAACCAGCCAAGUCGCGUGAGGGAAGACGGUCCUAUGGAUUGUAAACCUCUUUAGGCGGGGAGCAAUGCCGGGCACGCGUGCCCGGAGGGAGAGUACCCGCAGAAUAAGCAUCGGCUAACUCCGUGCCAGCAGCCGCGGUAAUACGGAGGAUGCGAGCGUUAUCCGGAUUUAUGGGGUUAAAAGGGUGCGUAGGCGGAUUUUUAAGUCAGCGGUAAAAUGUCCGGGCUCAACCCGGGCCGGCCGUUGAAACUGGGGAUCUUGAGUGGGCGAGAAGUAUGCGGAAUGCGUGGUGUAGCGGUGAAAUGCAUAGAUAUCACGCAGAACUCCGAUUGCGAAGGCAGCAUACCGGCGCCCGACUGACGCUGAGGCACGAAAGCGUGGGGAUCGAACAGGAUUAGAUACCCCUGUAGUC